rnacentral:lncRNA from 1 species
AACUGGACAGUGGGUUUGUGGCUGCUUAGAAGAUAACAGGGGAAGUUGAACUUAGUUGCUUGCAAUAGCUUUUGAUUGGCAGUGGCACCUUGGGAUACCCUGAAGGUGAAUGGAGAUGGCUAUGGAGUUCUGUCAUGGGUGAAGGAUGCCUCCCCACCAUGGCAUGUGUGUAGGUCUGCGCCCAGGAUCUGAACCCACGAACCCCGGGCCCCUGAAGUGGAACCCACAAACUUAACCACUACGCCACCAGGCUGUCAAGCAGAUUUCCUGAAACAAACAUGAUCUUUGAAGAGCCAGCAACUGGUGGUGAAUUAAAAACAGAUGAAUUUUCCAUAU